rnacentral:ncRNA from 2 species
CCUGCAUCCCCUAACCGUAGGGUGGGGCCCCACAGGUCCGUGAGGCAGGAACCCGGUGUGAGACCGGGGCGGUUCCGCCACUGUGACCCCUGCCACGACGGGCAGGGCAGCCAGACACUGCGCACGGACGACACCUGCCG